rnacentral:RNase_P_RNA from 1 species
AAUAGCGCGUAGUCGCGGCUUAUCAUUUGUCUGAUGAUAAGUUGAGGAAAGUCCAGGCUCGCCUAGCGCUGAGAUGCCUAGCGUGUUCGCGCCAUCCGCAAGGGUGGGCAGUCGAUCGGUUCGGCUGACGGCGGUGAAAUCAGGCUAAGUCCCCUUUUUUCAAAAAGAGGAUAUGCUGAGAGUAACCUGAAAGUGCCACAGAGACGAUACGCGAUUCGAAAGAGUCGCGCUGGAACGGGUAAACCCCGCGAGCGAGCAACCCAAACGAUGGUAGGGGCGCCACCUAGAGGGAAUUCAACCAAAAAGGUGGAUCAGCAAACAAAACAACAGCUGAUAGUUAAAUGACUACACCUGUUUGCGCCAGCUUAGCGAGCGACAUGAGCGCGCAGGAACAAAACCUGGCUUACAGCU